rnacentral:rRNA from 1 species
AUUGAACGCUGGCGGCAUGCCUUACACAUGCAAGUCGAACGGUAACGGGCCUUCGGGUGCCGACGAGUGGCGAACGGGUGAGUAAUGUAUCGGAACGUACCAUUCAGUGGGGGAUAACGUAGCGAAAGUUACGCUAAUACCGCAUAUUCUGUGAGCAGGAAAGCAGGGGAUCGCAAGACCUUGCGCUGAUUGAGCGGCCGAUAUCAGAUUAGCUAGUUGGUGGGGUAAAGGCUCACCAAGGCGACGAUCUGUAGCGGGUCUGAGAGGAUGAUCCGCCACACUGGAACUGAGACACGGUCCAGACUCCUACGGGAGGCAGCAGUGGGGAAUUUUGGACAAUGGGGGCAACCCUGAUCCAGCCAUGCCGCGUGAGUGAAGAAGGCCUUCGGGUUGUAAAGCUCUUUCGGCCGGGAAGAAAUCGCAUCAGCUAAUACCUGGUGUGGAUGACGGUACCGGAAUAAGAAGCACCGGCUAACUACGUGCCAGCCGCCGCCGUAA